AUUGAACGCUGGCGGCAGGCCUAACACAUGCAAGUCGAGCGGCAGCGACAGUAACAAUCCUUCGGGUGCGUUAUUGGGCGGCGAGCGGCGGACGGGUGAGUAAUGUCUGGGAAUAUGCCUUGAUGUGGGGGAUAACUAUUGGAAACGAUAGCUAAUACCGCAUAAUGUCCUUGUUCAUUACGAGCAGAGACCAAAGAGGGGGACCUUCGGGCCUCUCGCGUCAAGAUUAGCCCAGGUGGGAUUAGCUGGUUGGUGGGGUAAAGGCUCACCAAGGCGACGAUCCCUAGCUGGUCUGAGAGGAUGAUCAGCCACACUGGAACUGAGACACGGUCCAG
rnacentral:rRNA from 1 species